rnacentral:tRNA from 1 species
GCCUGAGUGGCUCAGUCGGUUGAGCAUCUGACUUCAGCUCAGGUCAUGAUCUCGUGGUUCGUGAGUUCGAGCCCCACGUCCAGCU